rnacentral:lncRNA from 1 species
GCACUUGCUCUCGGCCUGCAGGGAGCGCAGCAGGAACUCGAAGGAGAACCAGGCCACGCACACGGUCUCCAGCACGAACAGGCCCAGUUCCUGUUGGAAAAACCCAGAAAACCAGCAAGAUUUCAUGGUGAUCACUUCGGGCUUGAGAGCGGAUGCGCUUAGCUGACCCAGGAAACUGGUGAAAAUAAUGUUAAAACCCCUGACCUUUUAAAGCCUUGGGAAAUGGUCUUAAGAGCAAACAGCAAACGAAGAAACAUCUAUUUAUAUGUGAAAAUUCUGGAAGAAAGGUGAGCAUUUGUGGUAUCUGUGUCAAGACUGCAUCCUCCUUCUCAGCUUGGCCAGGGGGAGACGCCACGUGGAAUGGCUGCAGCCACGAACACAGACCCCCACCCCCACCUCCACCCCACCCACAGCUCCCAGUCAGGAGGGCUUCUUCCCUAGAAAGGGCUGACAUCAGCAUCUCACAUUCCGCCCUCAGCUCCUGGGGCUACGUCCUUGGGGAGUCCGGUGGAGGGGUGGGGCUCCCUCCUCCUGCCCAGUCCCCACUCUCGUGGGUGGGAGGCUGGCCUUGGGUGUGGCACACUGAGAAGGCAGGGCCUGACUGCCCUUGCUGCAGUGAUUCCAGGCCAGGAGAGGCCAAUGGGGUCUCAGGGUGCUAUCAAGCUCUCAGCUCCUAGAGAGGGAGGGUGUCAUUCACACUGAGGCUCGCAGCUGUCCCCAUCCCCCAAAUCCCUGGCUCAGAGAUUCCUGCCUGGAGGGAGAUGAAGGAAGUAAUCUCUUCUCAAAGGAACUGACUUCCUUUGCAAUGGAACAUGAAGAAGUUUACACCGAAGGGCACUCUCAACGCUAUUGGAGGUGGUGGUGAAGGGAAUUAGGAUUCAUGCGUGUGCUGACCACGUAGCCUAGACUGCACGCUGGCUAAGGUGCCGGGGAAUGAGGGGAGAAGACAGCUGGCAGGAGCCCUCCUGGGGUCAGAGCAAUGUCAGGCACUCUCAGAAAGCAAUGAGAAGGAGCUGCGAUAUGAGCAGGUUGUAAAGGAAUAACAGAGCUUUCAGCUGGCUGCUAGGAGUUUAACUACUGGGUGUGGUCAGUGAGACAGAGAAGAGGUUGCUCCCCAAGCCCUGUCAUCCCAGGGUGACGGUGGCACACUGGUGCUUCGACACCGAGACUGUUGCUGGGGAGGAAGAGGGGCACACAGGCAUCACAACAGUAAGCCAGCCAGUCACCAAAGACUAAACCAGUGAAUAACAGGCCCAGGAUGGGGACUACCAAAAGGGCUAGAAUAUCUUGUCUAAAAUGUCCAGUUUCUAACAAAGAAUGACAGGGUAUGUGGAGGAGGAGGAGGGAAGGAAGAAAAAGAAAAAGAAGGAAAGUAUGACUCAUACAUUAGGAAGAAAGCAACAAAAACUGCUGUGAGAGUGACCAAAUGUCAAAUUUAACUGAAUGAGAUUUCAAAGCAGCCACUAUCAAUAUGUUCACAAAACUAAAGGACGCAUAAAUGAACAUGCCACAAAUAGAGGCUGUUGGUAAAGAGAUGGACAUUUAAAAAAAUACCCAAACGGAAAUUCUGGAAUUGAAAAGUGCAAUAAUUGAAAUAAAAUAAUUUAAAAAUCACUAGAAAAGCUUAAAAGUAGAUUUUAACUGGCAGAGAAAAGAAUUAGUAAACAUGAAGAGUUUGACAGGAAUUAUGCUGAAGAAUAGAGAGAAAAAGAAUAAACCAAACAGCGCUUUAGGAAGUGUGGGACACCGUUAUAUGCACCAAUAUAUGCAUAAUGGGAAUACCCAAGGAGAGGAGAGAAGGGAAAAGAAAAACUAUGCAGAGAGAUAAUGCUGAAAAAAAAAACAAUUUUUUAAAAACAAUAACCUACAUAUCCAGGAAGCUCAAUGAACUCCCAGCAGGAUAAACACAGAGGCCCGCAGGUGGACACAUCAUAAUACAAGUAACGAAGGUCAAAGACAAGGAAAAAGUAUUGAAGCAGCAAGAGCAAAAUGAAGAUCACUUACAAGGGAAGUUCACAAAUAAACGGCUGACUUACCAGCAGAAACACUGCAAGCCAUAAGGCAGUGGGAUAGCACAUCCAAAGUGCUCAAAGGAAAAAAACCCUGCCAAUCAAGAAUCCUAUAUCCAGCAAAGUUACUGCUGAAAAAUGAAAGUAAAAAAUAAACACUUUCCCAGGUAAACAAAAAUAGAGAGAAUUCACUGCUAGCAGACCUGCCUCACAAGAAAUACUAAAGAAAGUUCUUCAGGCUGAAAGCAAGUGAACCCAGAUGAUAAUCUGGAUCGACACAAAAAGUGUUAGUAAAGGUAAUUAUGUAAUUAGAAAAGACACUAUAAAUGAAUUUUUUAACGGAUUUGAACAGCAACUGUAUAAAAAUAAGAUGUAUAUAACGUAUUAAGCUUGCAUCAUAUAGAAAUGUAAUAUAUGUGCAAUGUAUUUGCCAAUAAAAGCACAAAGGAGGUGUGUGGGAGCAAAAGUGUAAUGGUCUAAGGAAAUGACAGUGAAGCAAAAGCAACAAUUGUAACAAUGUGUAUUACAACAAUCGCACCAAAAGGGAGAAAAGUGAAUACAGCUCUAUAGGCAUAAUAUCUCCAUCUCACUGGAAUUACGCACAAACCUGAAGUAGGUUCUGAUUAUUUGUGGUAAACUCCAGAGCAACCACUAAAAGAAAGAACUAAAAAAAAAAAAAACUUUAAAAUAUCAUUAGUGGGCUGGGUGUGGUGGCUCAUGCCUGUCAUCCCAGCACUUUGGGAGGCCAAGGCAGAUGGAUCACCUGAGGUCAGGGGUUCUACACCAGCCUGGCCAACACGGCAAAACCCUGUCUCUACUAAAAAUACAAAAAUUAGCUGGGUGUGGUGGCAUGCGCCUAUAAUCCCAGCUACUUGGGAAGCUGAGGCAGGAGAAUUGCUUGAACCCAGGAUGUGGAGGCUGCAGUGAGCAGAGAUUGUGCCACUGCACUCCAACCUGGGCAACACAGUGAGACUCCAUCUCAAAAAAAAAUACAUAUAUAUAUCUAAUUAGUGGAAUUAAAAUGCUCCAUUAGAAAAUAUUCACCCCAUGCAAAAGAAAGCAGUUAAGGAAGGAUACAGAAACAACGUGCUCCGUGAGGUGCAUGAAACAGAAAAUAAGAUGUGGCAGACACAGACCCAACUAUAUCAAUCAAAACAGUAGAUGUGAAUGGAGUGAACAACCCAAUGAAAAGCAGACACAGAUCCAACUAUAUAAAUCAUAACAUUAGAUGGGAAUGGAGUGAACAACCCAAUCAAAAGCAGACACAGACUCAACUAUAUCAAUCGUAACAUUAGAUGUGAAUGGAGUGAACAACCCAAUCAAUAGCAGACACAGACUCAACUAUAUCAAUCGUUAAGAAUGAAGAACCCGAUCAAAAGCAGACACAGACCCAACUAUAUCAAUCAUAACAUUAGAUGUGAAUGAAGUGAACAAUCAAAAGCAGACACAAACCCAACUAUAUCAAUCGUUAUUAAUGGCAUGAACAACCCAAUCAAAGGCAGACACAGACCCAACUAUAUCAAUCGUUAUGAAUGGAGUGAACAAUGCAAUCAAAAGAAGACACAGACCCAACUAUAUCAAUCAUUAUGAAUGGAGUGAACAAUCCAAUCAAAAGCAGACACAGACUCAACUAUAUGAAUUGUAACAUUAAAUGUGAAUGGAGUGAACAAUCCAAUCAAAAGCAGAAACAGACCCAACUAUAUAAAUCGUUACUAACGGCAUGAACAACCCAAUCAAAAGCAGACACAGACCCAACUAUAUAAAUCGUUAUGAAUGGAGUGAACAACCCAAUCAAAAGCAGACACAGACCCAACUAUAUCAAUUGUACCAUUAGAUGUGAAUGGAGUGAACAACCCAAUCAAAAGCAGACACAGACGCAGCUAUAUCAAUCAUUAUGAAUGGUGUGAACAACCCAAUCAAAAGCAGACAGAGACCUAACUAUAUCAAUCGUAACACUAGAUGUGAAUGGAGUGAACAACCCAAUCUAAAGCAGACAGAGACCCCACUAUAUCAAUCGUAACAUUAGAUGUGAAUGGAGUGAACAACCCAAUCAAAAGCAGACACAGACCCAACUAUAUCAAUCGUACCAUUAGAUGUGAAUGGAGUGAACAACCCAAUCAAAAGCAUACACAGACCCCACUAUAUCAAUCGUAACAUUAGAUGUGAAUGGAGUGAACAACCCAAUCAAAAGCAGACACAGACCCAACUAUAUCAAUCAUAACAUUAGAUGUGAAUGGAGUGAACAACCCAAUCAAAAGCAGACACAGACCCCACUAUAUCAAUCGUAACAUUAGAUGUGAAUGGAGUGAACAACCCAAUCAAAAGCAAACACAGACCCCACUAUAUCAAUCGUAACAUUAGAUGUGAAUGGAGUGAACAACCCAAUCAAAAGCAGACACAGACCCAACUAUAUCAAUCGUUAUGAAUGGAGUGAACAACCCAAUCAAAAGCAGACACAGACCCAACUAUAUCAAUUGUAACAUUAGAAGUGAAUGGAGUGAAGAACCCAAUCAAAAGCAGACACAGACCCGACUAUAUCAAUCGUAAUUAAUGGCAUGAACAACCCAAUCAAAAGCAGACACAGACCCAACUAUAUCAAUCGUUAUGAAUGGAGUGAACAACCCAAUCAAAAGCAGACACAGACCCAAUUAUAUCAAUCGUAACAUUAGAUGUGAAUGGAGUGAACAACCUAAUCGAACGAGACGCAGACCCAGCUAUAUCAAUUGAACCAUUAGAUGUGAAUGGAGUGAAGAACUCAAUCAAAAGCAGACACAGACCCAACUAUAUCAGUCAUAACAUUAGAUGUGAAUGGUGUGAACAACCCAAUCAAAAGGAGACACAGACCCAGCUAUAUCAAUCAUUAUGAAUGGCGUGAACAACCCAAUCAAAAGCAGACAUGGACCCAACUAUAUUAAUCGUUAACAUUAGAUGUGAAUGGAGUGAAGAAACCAAUCAAAAGCAGACACAGACCCAACUAUAUUAAUCGUUAACAUUAGAUGUGAAUGGAGUGAAGAACCCAAUCAAAAGCAGACACAGACCCAACUAUAUUAAUCGUUAACAUUAGAUGCGAAUGGAGUGAAGAACCCAAUCAAAAGCAGAUACAGACCCAACUAUAUCGUUAUUAAUGGCAUGAACAACCCAAUCAAAGGCAGACACAGACCCAACUAUUUCAAUCGUUAUGAACGGAGGGAACAACCCAAUCAAAAGCAGACACAGACCCAACUAUAUCAAUUGUACCAUUAGAUGUGAAUGGAGUGAACAACCCAAUCAAAAGCAGACACAAGACCCAGCUAUAUCAAUCGAACCAUUAGAUUUGAAUGGAGUGAACAACCCAAUAAAAAGCAGACACAUAUCCAGCUAUAUCAAUUACAUGUGAAUGCAGUGAACAACCCAAUCAAAGGAGACGCAGACCCAGCUAUAUCAAUCGAACCAUUAGAUGUGCAUGGAGUGAAGAACGCAAUCAAAAGCAGACACAGACCCAACUAUAUCGAUCAUAACAUUAGAUAUGAAUGGAGUGAACAACCCAAUCAAAAGCAGACACAGACCCAACUAUAUGAAUUGUUAACAAUGAAGAACCCAAUCAAAAGCAGACACAGACCCAACGAUAUUAAUCGUAAUAUUAGAUGUGAAUGGAGUGAACAACCCAGUCAAAAGCAGACACAGACCCAACUAUCUCAAUCGUUAUGAAUGGCAUGAACAACCCAAUCCAAAGCAGACACAGACCCAGCUAUAUCAAUCGUACCAUUAGAUGUGAAUGGAGUGAAGAACCCAAUCAAAAGCGGACACGGAGCCAACUAUAUCAAUCAUAACAUUAGAUGUGAAUGGCGUGAACAAUCCAAUUAAAAGCAGAGACCCAACUAUAUGAAUCAUAAUAUUAGAUGUGAAUGGAGCGAACAACCCAAUCAAAAGCAGACACAGACCCAACUAUAUCAAUUGUAACAUUAGAUGUGAAUGGAGUGAACAACCCAAUCAAAAGCAGACACAGACCCAACUAUAUCAAUCGUAACAUUAGAUGUGAAUGGAGUGAACAACCCAAUCAAAAGCAGACAGACCCAACUAUAUCAAUUGUAACAUUAGACGUGAAUGGAGUGAAGAACCCAAUCAAAAGCAGACACAGACCCAACUAUAUCAAUCGUUAUUAAUGGCAUGAACAACCCAAUGAAAAGCAGACACAGACCCAACUAUAUCAAUCAUUUUGAAUGGAGUGAACAACCCAAUCAAAAGCAGACACAGACCCAACUAUAUCAAAUCGUUAUCAAUGGUGUGAACAACCCCAUCAAAAGCAGACACAGACCCAACUAUACCAAUCGUAACAUUAGCUGUGAAUGGAGUGAACAACCCAGUCAAAAGCGGCCACAGACCCAACUAUAUCAAUUGUUAUGAAUGGCUUGAACAACCCAAUUAAAAGCAGACACAGACCCAACUAUAUCAAUUGUACCAUUAGAUGUGAAUGGAGUGAACAACCCAAUCAAAAGGCAGACUGGGUUUUAAAAAAUAGUUGAACUAUAUGUUGUCUACAGGAGACACACUUUAGAUUCAAAUACAGAAAUAGAUACAAUGUAACAAGAUAGGAAAAGAUAUAUCAUCCAAACAGCAACCACAGGAAAGCUGGAAUGACUGUACUAAUAGACAAAGUAGACGUUAAAACAAAAAAUAUUAUUAGAGAUAAUAUGUAAUGAUCAACAGGUCAAUCCAUCAAGAAGAUAUAACAAGUAAAAUGUAUGCACCAAUAAUACAGCAAUAAGUAAAUGAAGCAAAAACUGAACACAAACAGAAAUUGAGAAAGAGACAUUCCAUAAUAAUAGUUGGAGACUUCAAUACCGCACUGUGUUGUUUUUUUUUUUUUUUUUUAGACGGAGUCUUGCUCUGUCAUCCAGGCUGGAGUGCAGUGUUGCGAUCUCGACUCACUGCAACCUCUGCCUCCCAGGUUCAAGUGAUUCUCCUGCCUCAGCCUCCUGAGUAGCUGGGACUACAGGCUUGCACCACUGUGCCCAGCUAAUUAAUACUGCACUUUCAAUAAUGGGUAGAACAAGUACACAGGAGAGUCAAGGAAACAGAAGGUGUGAACACCACCAUAAGCCAAAUGGACCUCACAGACAUCCGUAGAACAUGGCACCGGACAACUCAAUAUACAUUUUUUCAAUGUGCACACGGAACAGACUCCAGAACAGGACAUAUACCAGGCCAUAGAACCAACCUCAAUACAUUUAAAAGGAUAGAAAUAAUACAAAUAUACUCUCCAUCCACAAUAGAAUAUUAGAAAUUAAUAACAGGAGAAAAAUUGGGAACCUCACAAAUAUGUGGAAAUUAAACAUAUUCCUAGAUAAUCAAAGAGGCCAACCAAGAAAUCAG